rnacentral:misc_RNA from 1 species
GUGAAUCAUCAAAUCUUUGAACGCAAAUUGCACUCUCUUCGGAGAGUAUGCCUGUUUCAGGGUCAGCCUCAAAAAUAAUCGACAUAGUUGCUGUUUCUCGGUGAUAUUCUUCCUAAAUUGGGUCAUCUUUCACCUUUGGGUUUUUAGCAGCUUAAAAUCUUCUUUCCGAUUCCACGAACGUUUCCACGAUUUACUUCUUACACGUUUACGGCAAUCGAUCCUUUUUAGACAC